GGGAAACAAAGCAGAGAUGAAUGAAAAUGGAGGAGGUGAGGGAGAUGAGGGGCUCCCUCUCCUUAUUUAUCGGGCAUAUUACAUAUUUCCCAUUUGCCCCUGAAUAUUUAUGAGCGAACUAGCUAGCCAUAGAGGCAUUCUAGUCCAACUCGUCAUAACCUAGAUCCGACGGCCACCGCGCCCUUCAUGAGGUAGCUUAGCCUUGACGCCAACUCCUCGAUGCCGCCAUGUGUCGUCCGUUCCUCGGAACCUCCGCUCAGGUUUUGAAGCCCAAACCCGCAAAACCCGCCGCGGGUAGCGUACUCCAUACGCAUCCCCUGCUGGUCGACACGUGUCACCGCCGUCCUCGACCGGCCAGCCCGCCAAGUCCUCCCGAGCCUCGCUCGACUCGCACGUCCGCCGUCUUGACUUGGUGAACACGGUCACUCCCAUGUACACUCGCACUUGUCGAUGUCUCAGAUGUCAGCCACUAUGGCUGGUCACCCGGCCACCUUGUCCGUCAGUCCAAGCCUCACGUCCGCCCUUCACCGCUCGAGGUCCAUCGGCACGACACGUCUCCACUUGACCUUCUCCUCGCCGUCGACCACCGCCUCCGACCUGCACACCACAAGCCAAGAGACAUGUCACACACAUAGCUUUCACCAUGGUAAUGUUAGUCAAAAACUCAACCUAUUCGUGGAUCAUGUUGAUAAUCACUCAUCAUAAAACGAACUACAAGGGUACUUGUCGACCUUGUGUUCGCAGAAACUAAUGCGAUCUCGGUAACAAAGCAUCCACAAAGAUUAAAGUGACACUAGCAGCAAUUCAUCCACCACAAAAGCUCAACGACAAUAUUGCAAAGCAUAGGGGAGACCCAAACAACUUCGGUUGUAAAGCAUUCACCACGAGAACUAAUGUGAUCUCGGCGGCAAAGGAUCCACGGAGACUAAAAGCUGAACGAUAACGGCAAAGCAUCUGCCAAGAUGAUCCAAACAAUGCUAGAACUCUUUGCCAAGAUGAUCCAAACAAUGCUAGAACCUCAC
rnacentral:lncRNA from 1 species